rnacentral:misc_RNA from 1 species
GAUCAUUACCGAGUUUACAACUCCCAAACCCCUGUGAACAUACCACUUGUUGCCUCGGCGGAUCAGCCCGCUCCCGGUAAAACGGGACGGCCCGCCAGAGGACCCCUAAACUCUGUUUCUAUAUGUAACUUCUGAGUAAAACCAUAAAUAAAUCAAAACUUUCAACAACGGAUCUCUUGGUUCUGGCAUCGAUGAAGAACGCAGCAAAAUGCGAUAAGUAAUGUGAAUUGCAGAAUUCAGUGAAUCAUCGAAUCUUUGAACGCACAUUGCGCCCGCCAGUAUUCUGGCGGGCAUGCCUGUUCGAGCGUCAUUUCAACCCUCAAGCACAGCUUGGUGUUGGGACUCGCGUUAAUUCGCGUUCCCCAAAUUGAUUGGCGGUCACGUCGAGCUUCCAUAGCGUAGUAGUAAAACCCUCGUUACUGGUAAUCGUCGCGGCCACGCCGUUAAACCCCAACUUCUGAAUGUGAC